UCUGUACCCUCCCCAUAUCCCAUUGUAACAUACCUGGUGUGCACUCAGAUGAGAAAGUGUUAAGAGCAAGAAUCACUGCCUUACCUCACCAGCAGCUGCAAGACACAUAUAUUUAAUACCGACCCCAGGGUGAAGCUUCGACCAGUGGACCAAGACUGAAGGACAGCAUUAUGCUGAAGAAGGCUGUUGUUGGUGGCCAUUAUUGCUUCCCUCACACCCCUCAGAUAUUCACACAGUCAGUGGCAGUUGGCUCAGCUCAAGUUCUUCUGGUUGCUGCAAAUGACCUAAAGAGGGAGAUGGAGGGUCUGCAUUAUCGUUAGCACAAGCAGCUGGCAAUCCAAGGUCAGAUCAUUGCUGUGCAGUAUGUGACAUGGCCAGAGGAGGCACUGUCAGACCAGAAUGAUCCACUACCCAAUGGACUUCAAGCCAACUUAACACAACCGUGGGAAGCGUUGGAGUCAACAUGGGCCAGCAUCCCUGU